rnacentral:rRNA from 1 species
GAUAUGCUUUGGGGAGCUGUAAGUAAGCUUUGAUCCAGAGAUUUCCGAAUGGGGAAACCCAGCAUGAGUUAUGUCAUGUUAUCGAUAUGUGAAUACAUAGCAUAUCAGAAGGCACACCCGGAGAACUGAAACAUCUUAGUACCCGGAGGAAGAGAAAGAAAAUUCGAUUCCCUUAGUAGCGGCGAGCGAAACGGGAAGAGCCCAAACCAACAAGCUUGCUUGUUGGGGUUGUAGGACACUCUAUACGGAGUUACAAAGGACGACAUUAGACGAAUCAUCUGGAAAGAUGAAUCAAAGAAGGUAAUAAUCCUGUAGUCGAAAAUGUUGUCUCUCUUGAGUGGAUCCUGAGUACGACGGAGCACGUGAAAUUCCGUCGGAAUCUGGGAGGACCAUCUCCUAAGGCUAAAUACUCUCUAGUGACCGAUAGUGAACCAGUACCGUGAGGGAAAGGUGAAAAGCACCCCGGAAGGGGAGUGAAAUAGAACCUGAAACCGUGUGCUUACAAGUAGUCAGAGCCCGUUAAUGGGUGAUGGCGUGCCUUUUGUAGAAUGAACCGGCGAGUUACGAUUUGAUGCAAGGUUAAGCAGUAAAUGUGGAGCCGUAGCGAAAGCGAGUCUGAAUAGGGCGUUUAGUAUUUGGUCGUAGACCCGAAACCAGGUGAUCUACCCUUGGUCAGGUUGAAGUUCAGGUAACACUGAAUGGAGGACCGAACCGACUUACGUUGAAAAGUGAGCGGAUGAACUGAGGGUAGCGGAGAAAUUCCAAUCGAACCUGGAGAUAGCUGGUUCUCUCCGAAAUAGCUUUAGGGCUAGCCUCAAGUGAUGAUUAUUGGAGGUAGAGCACUGUUUGGACGAGGGGCCCCUCUCGGGUUACCGAAUUCAGACAAACUCCGAAUGCCAAUUAAUUUAACUUGGGAGUCAGAACAUGGGUGAUAAGGUCCGUGUUCGAAAGGGAAACAGCCCAGACCACCAGCUAAGGUCCCAAAAUAUAUGUUAAGUGGAAAAGGAUGUGGCGUUGCCCAGACAACUAGGAUGUUGGCUUAGAAGCAGCCAUCAUUUAAAGAGUGCGUAAUAGCUCACUAGUCGAGUGACACUGCGCCGAAAAUGUACCGGGGCUAAACAUAUUACCGAAGCUGUGGAUUGUCCUUUGGACAAUGGUAGGAGAGCGUUCUAAGGGCGUUGAAGCAUGAUCGUAAGGACAUGUGGAGCGCUUAGAAGUGAGAAUGCCGGUGUGAGUAGCGAAAGACGGGUGAGAAUCCCGUCCACCGAUUGACUAAGGUUUCCAGAGGAAGGCUCGUCCGCUCUGGGUUAGUCGGGUCCUAAGCUGAGGCCGACAGGCGUAGGCGAUGGAUAACAGGUUGAUAUUCCUGUACCACCUAUAAUCGUUUUAAUCGAUGGGGGGACGCAGUAGGAUAGGCGAAGCGUG